UACAAACUAGACUCCAACUAACUAGAUGAAAAUUUUUGAACCCAGCAGUGUAUUUCCAUAAAGGAGAGAAAAACAAGGCGUUUUUCAUCUGCUCAUUCGAUCCUCCUCACUUCUCCCCCUUUUCAUUCUUUCUUCUCCGUUGUCCCUAUUGAUAUAUUUUUUUUCUAUUUUUUUUUUAUUUCGCAAGUAAAGGUUUAAGCACAAAGAAGUGUUUUUGCAAGUGAAGAUAUAUCCGUCUGAACCAUACUUUAAUUAGGGCGAGGGUUAAUCUCUCUGCAACAAUUGAUAGACGGGUUACAAAUGGAACCAUGAGCUUGAGGUCCGUAAACUACAUGAAGUAAAACCUCAAGUGUUGGUUUUACAGCAGGACUAUGAGGCUGUUCAUUCUGGAGCUAUUCUGCUUGAGGGUUUCUUAAGAACUAUCACUAUAAUGUCGAAAGACCUGUUGACCAGGCCUGCCGCAUGCGUGUAGUCACUCUUAAUAAUCCCAGGUCACAUAUGGCGCACAAAAUGUUUGUUCCUCGGUUAGCUGUCGAACUUUUAAGUAUAAAGUGUGUGUGCACUACCAAAUUAGAUUAAAAGAGUAUGUUACCACAUAGGUGUAGCAUUCGUGUUGUUAAUAUUUGAUCACAAUCUAGCUUAAGUCUGCCGGCCCUUAAGCAAACAUAACCGUACUCCAAAGCUAAUUUUUUUCAGAAACUGGGUUUGAUCUUUUUUGUGGGUUCUUCUGAUUUCUUUGAGAUGACGUAUUUAAACAGAAUUAAUUGCUGAGAAGGGUAAUAAUUAAGUGCAUGCUUUGGAAGAAUGAGAUUCACAUGAGUGUGGAGAUAAGUUACUUGAUGUGGAGAAAGAAUGAGUAUUUUUUUUUCAUCAUGAAUUUCCUACUGCGGUUUGCAGUUCUUAAAAUGGUUUGUUGUCCAUUAAAUGCAGCAAGACUGCCUAUCUCCCGAGAUCGUCCUCUCUUUUCUUUUGUUUGGCGUAAUUAGCUUCAUUGUGCUAUGUCCAAGAUUAUUAUUUUCAUAAUUGAGUCUUUAUAGUUUUUGUAUUCUACUUGAAAAUAUAUUAUUUCCACAUUACGAAUUUGAUUUUAGUCCAUCAUAUGUUUUGGUUUUGCUCUCAAGAUUUAUUGCAUCAGAUAUGAAAAUUUCUUUAUAAGAUUUCUACUGUUUUGACUUUGUAACUCAUGGGAUCUGUUCCUGUAAUCUUUCUACACAAAAUUUGAGUUCACAGGAUGCGGAAGAAAAAAAAUUAGAUCAUGUUUGCAACAAUGGGAGUAACUGUGGAAACAACACAAAUCUUCAAAAAGUGAUUUUUAAUGGAUGUAGAGAGUGACCCCUUUCUUAAACUUGUGGAUCAUUUUGGGAAAAAUGCUAGCAUUAGUGCUCGAAAAUGCAUAUAGUUCCAUGCCAGAAAGAAAAAAUAUUCCUAUAACAUGGAGUAGUAAGUCAUAUCCCGUGCGCGGAGAUCCAGAGACAGAUUUGGAAACAAAAAUGAACUGUACACUGAAAUUGUUUGUAGUUAAUGGAGUGGAGGAAAAUUGAGUUAUGAUCUUACUUAUCAUUAGCCUCAAUAUACUCCAGUUACUAAAUUAGGGGUCUUGACAACAUGCGUGUAAGAUAGGUGAUAUGUAUAGUUGAGGACCUGCUUCCUCUGUUUGGCAAUACACAUUGAACAUGUAAGAUAGUCACUCUUCAAGCUCAAAGAGAAUUUACUCUCCCAGCACGCAACGUAAAGAUAAAUUUCUCCUGCAACUCACAAAAGUACCUUAAAACAUUGAUGUAUGAUUAGAUACCACAAGAUACUUUCAGCAAUGAUCGUGAAAAACACUAGAGGAAUGCAAUCUGAGAUGACGUAUAUAAUACUUCCUCAGGUCAUGGUAACACGGACAAAGAACUGCUUUCCUCAAGUAGCUUAAUUAAUUUAAACAAAUGGACAUCAGCUUCUCUUCAACACUGUCAUAGAAGAGGGAUCUUACACCAAUUAAAAUCAUUGUACAUCUUUAACUUUCCUCGGUUGGAUCUCUUCCAGGUACUGGAUCCAUAGAUGCUGGAUAAGGGCAAUAUGUUGUACACAAUCCAACAAGAAGGAAAGCUCAGCAACAAAUAAAAAGAGGCGUCGUACAAUUGCAGUUCUCUUUAAUGUCAUAACUUCAGUUGGUUGGUCCUGGACCUGGAGUAUUCCGAUCUGAAGUUAACUGCGACCUCAAGGAUUAAGAGAACUUGAGUUAGGGUAUUUAUCAGUUUGAAAAAUUAUUCAUGAUUAGUGAAUCUCUACUUAUGCGUCUUUUUAUUCUUCCUUCUAUGUUCUGGAAUGCAUUACAUGAAGAACACACGCUCAAGAACUAAGUCACUCUGAAGAAAUGAAGUACUACUGAGUUCCAAAUUUACCAUGAGAUAACCUAGAACAAUGGGAUUCUUGGUUGUUCACCUGAUGGAAUCAAUGGUAUACGAAGAAAUUUUCACCAAAAUCUACAAUUUCUACAUAUAUUACUAUUCUUCUACCUUUUUCUUUACAAGUUAUCUUUUGUUCAUACAUGUACAUGUAUUCUUGGACAGAGGU